rnacentral:rRNA from 1 species
AACGCUGGCGGCGUGCCUAACACAUGCAAGUCGAACGUGAAAGGGACUUCGGUCCUGAGUAAAGUGGCAAACGGGUGAGUAACGCGUGGGUGAUCUGCCUCUGAGUGGGGGAUAACCUUCCGAAAGGGGGGCUAAUACCGCAUGACAUCCUGUUCUUGGAUGAACGGAGAUCGAAGCUGGGGACCGCAAGGCCUGGCGCUUGGAGAGGAGCCCGCGUCCGAUUAGCUAGUUGGUGGGGUAACGGCCUACCAAGGCGACGAUCGGUAGCCGGCCUGAGAGGGCGGACGGCCACACUGGGACUGAGACACGGCCCAGACUCCUACGGGAGGCAGCAGUGGGGAAUUGUUCGCAAUGGGCGCAAGCCUGACGACGCAACGCCGCGUGGGGGAUGAAGGUCUUCGGAUUGUAAACCCCUGUUGGGUGGGACGAACACCUUCGUGGUGAACAGCCACGGAGACUGACGGUACCACCUGAGGAA